AUGCAAGUUGAGCGAUGAAGAUUGGUGCUUGCACCAAUUUGAAGAGCAGCGAACGGGUGAGUAACGCGUGGGGAAUCUGCCUUUGAGCGGGGGACAACAUUUGGAAACGAAUGCUAAUACCGCAUAACAACUUUAAACAUAAGUUUUAAGUUUGAAAGAUGCAAUUGCAUCACUCAAAGAUGAUCCCGCGUUGUAUUAGCUAGUUGGUGAGGUAAAGGCUCACCAAGGCGAUGAUACAUAGCCGACCUGAGAGGGUGAUCGGCCACAUUGGGACUGAGACACGGCCCAAACUCCUACGGGAGGCAGCAGUAGGGAAUCUUCGGCAAUGGACGAAAGUCUGACCGAGCAACGCCGCGUGAGUGAAGAAGGUUUUCGGAUCGUAAAACUCUGUUGGUAGAGAAGAACGUUGGUGAGAGUGGAAAGCUCAUCAAGUGAC
rnacentral:rRNA from 1 species